UUUAUGGAGAGUUUGAUCCUGGCUCAGAGUGAACGCUGGCGGCGUGCCUAAUACAUGCAAGUCGAACGAUGAAGCUUCUAGCUUGCUAGAGUGCUGAUUAGUGGCGCACGGGUGAGUAACGCAUAGGUCAUGUGCCUCUUAGUUUGGGAUAGCCAUUGGAAACGAUGAUUAAUACCAGAUACUCCCUACGGGGGAAAGAUUUAUCGCUAAGAGAUCAGCCUAUGUCCUAUCAGCUUGUUGGUAAGGUAAUGGCUUACCAAGGCUAUGACGGGUAUCCGGCCUGAGAGGGUGAACGGACACACUGGAACUGAGACACGGUCCAGACUCCUACGGGAGGCAGCAGUAGGGAAUAUUGCUCAAUGGGGGAAACCCUGAAGCAGCAACGCCGCGUGGAGGAUGAAGGUUUUAGGAUUGUAAACUCCUUUUGUUAGAGAAGAUAAUGACGGUAUCUAACGAAUAAGCACCGGCUAACUCCGUGCCAGCAGCCGCGGUAAUACGGAGGGUGCAAGCGUUACUCGGAAUCACUGGGCGUAAAGAGCGCGUAGGCGGGAUAGUCAGUCAGGUGUGAAAUCCUAUGGCUUAACCAUAGAACUGCAUUUGAAACUACUAUUCUAGAGUGUGGGAGAGGUAGGUGGAAUUCUUGGUGUAGGGGUAAAAUCCGUAGAGAUCAAGAGGAAUACUCAUUGCGAAGGCGACCUGCUGGAACAUUACUGACGCUGAUUGCGCGAAAGCGUGGGGAGCAAACAGGAUUAGAUACCCUGGUAGUCCACGCCCUAAACGAUGGAUGCUAGUUGUUGGAGGGCUUAGUCUCUCCAGUAAUGCAGCUAACGCAUUAAGCAUCCCGCCUGGGGAGUACGGUCGCAAGAUUAAAACUCAAAGGAAUAGACGGGGACCCGCACAAGCGGUGGAGCAUGUGGUUUAAUUCGAAGAUACACGAAGAACCUUACCUAGGCUUGACAUUGAGAGAAUCCGCUAGAAAUAGUGGAGUGUCUAGCUUGCUAGACCUUGAAAACAGGUGCUGCACGGCUGUCGUCAGCUCGUGUCGUGAGAUGUUGGGUUAAGUCCCGCAACGAGCGCAACCCCCUUUCUUAGUUGCUAACAGGUCAUGCUGAGAACUCUAAGGAUACUGCCUCCGUAAGGAGGAGGAAGGUGGGGACGACGUCAAGUCAUCAUGGCCCUUACGCCUAGGGCUACACACGUGCUACAAUGGGGUGCACAAAGAGAAGCAAUACUGCGAAGUGGAGCCAAUCUUCAAAACGCCUCUCAGUUCGGAUUGUAGGCUGCAACUCGCCUGCAUGAAGCUGGAAUCGCUAGUAAUCGCAAAUCAGCCAUGUUGCGGUGAAUACGUUCCCGGGUCUUGUACUCACCGCCCGUCACACCAUGGGAGUUGUGUUUGCCUUAAGUCAGGAUGCUAAACUAGCUACUGCCCACGGCACACACAGCGACUGGGGUGAAGUCGUAACAAGGUAACCGUAGGUGAACCUGCGGUUGGAUCACCUCCUUU
rnacentral:rRNA from 1 species